ensembl:lncRNA
GUUCGAUAUUUCUGACACAUAGCACCAGUGAGAGACAGGCAGGGAGACUGGAAGAGAGACAGGUAGUAGACCAGUCUCUCUCCCGGACGGUGGAGAAACAGUAGUAGACCCGUAGAGUGACAUGCAAAGACAGGCAGGUAGAGAGACAGGUAGAGAGAGAGGCUUGUAGAGAGACAGACAGGUAGGGACAAAGGUAUAGAGACAGGCGGAUACAGAGAAAGGCAGGAAGACGGCUAGAGAGAAAGGAACGUAGAGAGACAGACAGGUAGAGAAUAAGACACGGAGAUGGGUAGAGAGACAGACAGAGAGACAGACAGGAAGAGAAACAGACUGGGACACAGGUAGAGAAACAGACUGGGAGAUGGGUAGAGGAGAGAGAGACAGACAGGGACACAGGUAGAGAGACAGACAGGGACACAGGUAGAGAGACAGACAGGUAAAGUGGGGUGUUUACCUUUAAUUACUGCAGAAGCAUCUGUUGGACUAACGGUUUUUCCGACUCCUGCAAUCGUUGUAAUGUACUUAAAUACAAUAUAUAUAUUAUAUCUACAUAAUAUAUAUAAUAAUACAUGAAUAAUAUGUAGAAAAUGUGGAGGCUCUAUAUGAAGGCUCUAUAUGAAGGCUCUAUAUGAAGGCUCUGUAUGAAGGCUCUAUAUUGAGGCUCUGUAUGAAGGCUCUGUAUGAAGGCUCUGUAUGAAGGCUCUGUAUGGAGGCUCUGUAUGAAGGCUCUAUAUGAAGGCUCUGUAUGAAGGCUCUGUAUGAAGGCUCUGUAUGAAGGCUCUGUAUGGAGGCUCUGUAUGGAGGCUCUGUAUGAAGGCUCUGUAUGAAGGCUCUAUAUGAAGGCUCUGUAUGAAGGCUCUAUAUUAAGGCUCUAUAUUAAGGCUCUGUAUGAAGGCUCUGUAUGGAGGCUCUGUAUGAAGGCUCUGUAUGAAGGCUCUGUAUGAAGGCUCUGUAUGAAGGCUCUAUAUGAAGGCUCUAUAUGAAGGCUCUAUAUGAAGGCUCUAUAUGAAGGUUCUAUAUGGAGGCUCUGUAUGAAGGUUCUAUAUGGAGGCUCUGUAUGAAGGCUCUAUAUGAAGGCUCUAUAUGAAGGCUCUAUAUGAAGGCUCUAUAUGAAGGUUCUAUAUGGAGGCUCUGUAUGAAGGCUCUAUAUGAAGGCUCUAUAUGAAGGCUCUAUAUGAAGGCUCUAUAUGAAGGCUCUGUAUGAAGGCUCUAUAUGGAGGCUCUGUAUGAAGGCUCUAUAUGGAGGCUCUGUAUGAAGGCUCUAUAUGAAGGCUCUGUAUGGAGGCUCUAUAUGAAGGAUAUAUAUGAAGGAUAUAUAUGGAGGCUCUGUAUGAAGGCUCUGUAUGAAGGCUCUGUAUGAAGGGUCUUGAGAGAGAGGACUGUGUGUGUGUGUGUGUGUGUGUGUGUGUGUGUGUGUGUGUGUGUGUGUGUGUGUGCGUGUGUGUGUGUGUGUGUGUGUGUGUGUGUGUGUGUGUGUGUGUGUGUGUGUGUGUGUGUGUGUUUUCACCAUUGAGAUGUUUCAGAAGAACACCUGCCCUCUCUGUAAAAAUAUAUUCUAUAUUAAUAUUGAUAUUCCUAUUGUACAUUAAUAUUCUCUACAAUUAUAUCGUAGAUUAAUAUUCUACAUAUGUUACAUUCAUAUAUUCUAGACUAAUAAUUUUCAUUACUAUUCAAGAUUCAUAUUCUACAUUACUAUUGUAGAUUCAUAUUCUAUGAUAUUGUUGUUUCCUAAGGUAAUGAAUUGAACAUAUAUUGGUUAUGUAUUGAUCAUAUAUUAAUAAUGUAUUGGCAAUGUAUUGAUAAUGUGAUGAUAAUGUAUUGGUCAUAUAUCAAUAAUGUAUGAGAAAUGUAUUGAUAAUGUGUUGAUAAUGUAUUGGUUAUAUAUCAAUAAUGUAUUGGUAAUGUAUUGAUACUGUGUUGAUAAUGUAUUGGUUAUAUAUUAAUAAUGUAUUGGUAAUGUAUUGAUACUGUGUUGAUAAUGUAUUGGUUAUAUAUUAAUAAUGUAUUGGUAAUGUAUUGAUACUGUGUUGAUUAUGUAUUGGUUAUCUAUUAAUAAUGUAUUGGUAAUGUAUUGAUAAUGUAUAGGUGAUGUAUUGAUACUGUAUAGGUGAUGUAUUGAUACUGUGUUGAUAGUGGAUUCAUUAUAAAUACCCUCAACCGGUGCUGUGAGGCCCAUCUCGCCAGCAAGCAGAGAACCAGCAGAGUCC